AUGGCCGUACCAUGCUGAAUAUACCGGUUCUCGUUAGAUCACCGAAGUUAAGCAUCAUUGGGCUGUCUCACGUCAGUACUUGGGUGGGUGACCACCUGGGAUGGGACUGCGUGCCG